UGGGGAAUAUUGGGCAAUGGAGGCAACUCUGACCCAGCAACGCCGCGUGAAGGAUGAAGGUUUUCGGAUUGUAAACUUCUGUCGCAGAGGACGAAGAAUGACGGUACUCUGUAAGAAAGCCACGGCAAACUACGUGCCAGCAGCCGCGGUAAUACGUAGGUGGCAAGCGUUGUCCGGAAUGACUGGGUGUAAAGGGAGUGUAGGCGGUUGGGUAAGUUAUAUGUGAAAGCCCCGGGCUUAACUUGGGAACUGCAUAUAAGACUGCCUGACUAGAGUGUGGGAGAGGUAAGUGGAAUUCCUAGUGUAGCGGUGGAAUGCGUAGAUAUUAGGAGGAACACCAGUGGCGAAGGCGGCUUACUGGACCAUAACUGACGCUGAAACUCGAAAGCGUGGGGAGCAAACA
rnacentral:rRNA from 1 species